rnacentral:lncRNA from 1 species
UUAGACUUUUCAAAAACCAAAUUCAUGUUAUUUGGUGACACAGUAAAACUAAAUGUGUUCCUCUCUCUUUGUUUAGGCUGUUUCGAAUGCUAAGGUUUGAAAUCCAUUUUUAAAGUCACAGAUCCUGUAUCCUGACCACGACAACAGCAGCUAAUUUUCUUGGAUCGACCUGAAGCAGAUUCUCUGGGUUCUCAUCCAGUUUCUCAAACAGAUUUUGGCCAACAGACGAUUUUUGGAGCCACUGACAUCGUCUGUAGUUAUUUUCUGCAAACACAUACAUCAAAAUUUAAUAAGCGAACCAAGGUUAGAGCUAGAAUAGUGGUGUCAUUUACAUCCAUCUGUUA